AACGAACGCUGGCGGCAUGCCUAACACAUGCAAGUCGGACGAGACCUUUGGGUCUAGUGGCGCACGGGUGCGUAACGCGUGGGAAUCUGCCCUUGGGUUCGGAAUAACAGUGAGAAAUUGCUGCUAAUACCGGAUGAUGUCUUCGGACCAAAGAUUUAUCGCCCAGGGAUGAGCCCGCGUAGGAUUAGCUAGUGGGUGGGGUAAUGGCCUACCAAGGCGACGAUCCUUAGCUGGUCUGAGAGGAUGAUCAGCCACACUGGACUGAGACACGGCCCAGACUCCUACGGGAGGCAGCAGUGGGGAAUAUUGGACAAUGGGCGCAAGCCUGAUCCAGCAAUGCCGCGUGAGUGAUGAAGGCCUUAGGGUUGUAAAGCUCUUUUACCAGGGAUGAUAAUGACAGUACCUGGAGAAUAAGCUCCGGCUAACUCCGUG
rnacentral:rRNA from 1 species